UCCUGUACUACCGAUAACCGUUUGAGAGAAGGGAUGACACAGUAGGAUAAGCUAAGCACACUGUUGGUUAUGUGUGCCCAAGCAUUGAGGCAGUCAAAGUAGGCAAAUCCGCUUUGAUAAUGCUGGGCUGUGAUGGGGAGCGAAAUUUAGUAGCGAAGUAGCUGAUUUCACACUGUCAAGAAAAGUCUCUAUCGAGGUUAAAGGUACCCGUACCGCAAACCGACACAGGUGGGUGAGGAGAGUAUCCUAAGGCCAGCGAGAGAACUGUUGUUAAGGAACUCGGCAAAAUGACCCCGUAACUUAGGGAUAAGGGGUGCCACCAUCAGGUGGCCGCAGAGAAUAGGCCCAAGCGACUGUUUACCAAAAACAUAGGUUUCUGCUAAGUCGCAAGACGAUGUAUAGGAGCUGACGCCUGCCCGGUGCUGGAAGGUUAAGGGGAUCUGUUAGAGCAAUCGAAGCAGUGAACUUAAGCCCCAGUAAACGGCGGCCGUAACUAUAACGGUCCUAAGGUAGCGAAAUUCCUUGUCGGGUAAGUUCCGACCCGCACGAAAGGCGUAACGAUUUGGGCACUGUCUCAACAACAGACUCGGUGAAAUUGUAAUUCCGGUGAAGAUGCCGGAUACCUGCGACAGGACGGAAAGACCCCAUGGAGCUUUACUGUAGCUUGACAUUGGGUCUUGGUACUACAUGUACAGGAUAGGUGGGAGGCUUUGAAACCAGGACGCCAGUUUUGGCGGAGCCAUCCUUGGGAUACCACCCUUGUAGUACUGGGACUCUAACCAUAGGCCAUGAAUCUGGUCUUGGGACACUGUCAGGUGGGCAGUUUGACUGGGGCGGUCGCCUCCCAAAAGG
rnacentral:rRNA from 1 species